rnacentral:rRNA from 1 species
UACGGAAGGUGCAAGCGUUAUCCGGAUUUAUUGGGUUUAAAGGGUACGUAGGCGGCAAAGUAAGUCAGUGGUGAAAUCCAACAGCUUAACUGUUGAACUGCCAUUGAAACUAUUUUGCUUGAGUCUAGUCGAAGUAGGCGGAAUUCCGCAUGUAGUGGUGAAAUGCAUAGAUAUGCGGAGGAACACCAAUAACGAAGGUAGCUUACUAGGCUAGUACUGACGCUGAGGUACGAAAGCGUGGGGAGCGAACGGG